CCUACGGGUGGCAGCAGUGGGGAAUAUUGCACAAUGGGGGAAACCCUGAUGCAGCAACGCCGCGUGAGUGAGGAAGUAUUUCGGUAUGUAAAGCUCUAUCAGCAGGGAAUAGCAAAGAAGGUACCAGUAAACGAAGCCCCGGCUAACGACGUGCAAGCAGCCGCGGUAAUACGUAGGGGGCAAGCGUUAUUCGGAAUUACUGGGUGUAAAGGGAGCGUAGACGGAAAGGCAAGUCAGAAGUGAAAGCCCAAGUCUCAACCAUGGUACUGCUUUUGAAACUGGCAAACUAGAGUACGGGAGAGGUAAGAGGAAUUCCUAGUGUAGGAGUGAAAUCCGUAGAUAUCUGGAGGAACAUCAGUGGCGAAGGCGACUAUCUGGCACAUAACUGACGCUGAGGAGCGAAAGCGUGGGUAGCAAACAGGAUUAGAUACCCCGGUAGUC
rnacentral:rRNA from 1 species